rnacentral:rRNA from 1 species
ACGUAGGGUGCAAGCGUUAAUCGGAAUUAUUGGGCGUAAAGAGCUCGUAGGUGGUUCGUCACGUCGGAUGUGAAACUCUGGGGCUUAACCCCAGACCUGCAUUCGAUACGGGCGAGCUUGAGUAUGGUAGGGGAGUCUGGAAUUCCUGGUGUAGCGGUGGAAUGCGCAGAUAUCAGGAGGAACACCAAUGGCGAAGGCAGGACUCUGGGCCAUUACUGACACUGAGGAGCGAAAGCGUGGGGAGCGAACAGG